UUCCCCCCGAAAUUUCUCUCAGGAUAAUUGGAAUGCGCAAUGAAGCUGCAGUAUUCGGUAAAGCGAAUGAUUUGCGGAACGAAACGUUUUCAAUCUGUUCUCAAAUUUUCAAUGAGUAUGACGUCUUGCUUGCUUGAAUGAAGCAUAGAUAUUGAAUGUGUGCU
rnacentral:ncRNA from 1 species